CAAAAUCUACUGCAUGCCCAGUGUAUAAACGAUGUAAUAGGUCAAGGUUAGCAUCAAGUCCAUAACAUCCUCCGCCUCCAAGCUCUUCCAAAGGCACACAGGGACUAGGUCACUGAUCUCACUAUAUAUAUAUAUAUAUACAUAGCUAGUAGCUUCAAGCCUUCAAAUAUGCAUGUUUUUCUUAAGUUGUGGUCUGGUUUGCAAUUUCUGUGGUUUUUCAUAUAUAUAUAUAUAUAUAUUAUAUGUAGGUGGAUGC
rnacentral:lncRNA from 1 species